CUAGGAUGUGGGGUUCCAAAGAUCACUCCACUCAACUUUUAAUCAAGUUCUUACUCAUUCUUACCCAGCAAACAGGAAGGUGAUGGCCAGCGGCGAGAACAAGCCCUCCGAAGAUUAGUGUAUCGAUGCCUCGAGGCAAACCAACCUAGGUGUAGAAUCUGUGGAGCUUGGAGGCUUAUGUGAGUAGCAAGGAAAAGCGAAUAAUCAAAUCAGCAACGCAAAGUUGAAAUAUGCUCAAAAAUGCUAGUCCUAGUUGCUGGAGUUGACAAGAACGAAUUACAGAAAUUAACUAAGCUUAGAUACUGAAAAAGGUAAAAAGGAAAGAUCAAAUGAAAGGUAAAACAAGUAAAUAUCUGGGGAACAUUUUUUUCUCUUUUUUUUUUCUUUUUGUGGCCUUCCGUUUGGCUUCUUAUUCUUUUCUAUUCUUUUUCUUUUUUUUUUAACCCCAAAAACUCACGCAAAAGAAGUUAAGACCGGAAAGCUGCACGUCUGUCUAUAAGAGAAUAGCAAAGGCUGUAGUAAGGAAAACUCAGAAAAAUAUGAGAAAAUAUGGGUUAGAAGCUUAUCAAAACAAGCUUUCCAACAAGUGCAAGAUCACUCGAAACGGAGGUCGGACGGUGGAAAAAACUGAGAUAUACUGCGCUGCCCCGGUGCCGUAAAACGGGUGCAGAAAUUUUGGAGCUCGAAAAGUCCACCUUAGAAGCCGAAUUUGAGGGUCAAAGUACAGGGCAGCGCCCUGGAUAUUUCCUGAUGCGCCUCGUCGUGAGCUUUCCAAAAAGUCCAAGAACGUCCAAAUCCGAGUUGGUAUGCAAAAGAUACGUCCGUUUUACUGAACACGGGUCAAACCCACCCGAAACUAAAAUUCUACUCGGACUCGGGUCCGAAACUGACUCGAACUCUUUCUCUUUUUUUUUUGUUUUUUUUCUUUCUUUCUUCCUUUUUUUUUCUUUCCCUUCUUUUUUUUUCACAACUUUCCGAACAAUUUGAUCUCUAAACAAAAUUCGAUCUAUUAUGAAACACUUUCCAAAAGCACUCUUGAUUGGACUCGGACUCGAACUCGCGGCUGAAAACUAUAACUUGCCGACUCGAUGUAGGACUCGACGAGGGAUUCAGUGUAGGACUCGAAGAGGGACUCGGUGUAGGACUCGAAGAGGGACUCGGUGGAAGAUAUGUUGGCGGCGGAAGAUUAUGGCGGUGGUGUGGCAGGAAGUUUGGCAGCGGAAGAUUGAUGGAAAGCCUGCGUCACACGAAAUGAAAAAACAAAAACAAGUUCGAUCUAGUAGAAAAAAUCUGAAAAACGAUCCAAUCUAAUCCAGCAACUCGACACGAUUAAUGCAGCAAAGAUUCAACAAUGCAAAUACUAAUGUGAAAAUUGCAAGGCUCAGAUUGGUUCUAGGACAAGGUAACUAAUUCUAAUUUUUGUUUGGCUUUUUCUGGACGAUAGGUAAAAACAGAUCUAAACUACGGAUAAACUGGAAAAAUCUCACCGAGCAACCUUAAGCUCUGAUACCACGUGAUAGCCUCGAGGGUGUCCCGAUCUUUCGAUGGGAUACCUAAUUAUCGAUUUGGUAGGAGGUGACGUUGACGAUCCGACUACAACCUAGGAGGCAGCAUCUUAGCGAUCGAUACACCAACUCCAGAAGGUUAUUGAUCCCGCGGGGGCACGAUCAACCUGACCACGAAGGUCUUUGUUCCUGCAAGCAAUCGAAGAACAAGCAAGAACAAGAUGAAAAGCAAUCUGAAAUUGCGAACAGGAGAUAUGAAGGUUCACGAAUCUGAAUACUCAAUAUAGUUGGAGUCUUGAUGACGGUAAAACAGGUGGUCUAACCGACACACGCGAUUACACGAAAGUAGCAAAGGUUAAACUUUAUCUAAUCAAAACCCAAGGCUCCAUAGGGGGGCUCAUGGGGUAUAAAUAGGAGGGGAACUAGGUGGUUUUCGGCCAGGCCCUUGUGAGACUCCGAAACGGCCUAGGAAUCCUCCUAAAACACAACGAAAACAUCUAAAAAUUGGCUGGACCCUAUUACAUGGCCUUAGGCCCAAUAAAACAAGGUUAUAACCCUCAUCUUUGGCCCAUAGAUACCUUUUGGAGAGGGAAUCAUCCACUUGGCCGAAAUCCCAUUGAUGAAGAGGAUGCGGCCUUCUUCUCAUCUCUUUAUGGCGGUUUCAAUGUUCUGAAAUCAACACUUGAGCUAACUCACGCCACCUUGCUGCCACCUCCAUGGUUUGCUGUCCAACGCUGAUCCUUGAGGUCCAAGCUAGGUCCUUCAUUCCUAAAACACAUAAAAGAACGCAUCUUAGGCAGCAGCAUAUUCUCAUUAAUAUUAAAUGAAGUACCGAGGAACGAAAGUACCUGAUAAUUUAGUUGUCGUGCACGAGCCCUAGUAAUUGGUCCAUGUAUCUCCGGUACUUGAGGUGUAGGUGCUGUAGGGGCUGUGGUUGUAUCAUUAGUUGGGAUGUCCUCAUCACCUGGGCGGUCACCUUGCGCACUGGUUCCACCUCCACCCAUUUGGAGAACUUGUCGAUGGCCACAAACAAGUAUUCGUAACUGCCAACCGCCCUCGGUAGCUUGCCGACGAUGUCUAGUCCCCAGACCGCGAACGGCCAUGAGGACGGGAUGGCAUGCAGGGCCUGGGGUGGUUGGUUGCUCUUGUUCGAGUGGAACUGGCACGCUUCACACAUCCUCACCAGCCGCUCUGCGUCGGCCAGGGCCGUGGGCCAGUAAAAGCCAUGCCGGAAAGCCUUGCCGGCUAAAGCCCGGGAGGCCACAUGGUGUGAACAUGUGCCUCGAUGUAUGUCCUUCAAUAGUGCACACCCUUCCUCCUGCGGCACGCAAAAGAGUUUAACACCAUUCGCACGCCUGCGGUAGACGCUGCCGUCUAUCACGGUGUACAUCUUGGCUCGCCACGCUCCGCAGCGACGUCAUCCUCCGGGAGAGCCUCCCAUUUCAAAUAGCGGGCGAUCUCUUCCGCCCAGGGAGGAAUUUCUCUGCCCAUGCAUGCCGCCAUAUCAGCGGCAUGGACCCCUGCUGCUGCAGGGGUUCCCUCGGGUGCUGGAGGGGCGUCCCCGGCAGCCGUGUGGGGGGUGACUGAAGGAGCCAGUUGCUUCUGGCAGAACACCCCCGCCGGAGGCUUCCGGCGCUCUGCUGCCAUCUUGGCCAGCUCAUCAGCAGCGAAGUUGUCCUUCCGCUUGACGUGUUCGAAGCGCAAACCCUUGAACUUCCGUUCCAGCUUGCGGACCUCUUCCACGUACGGCACCAUUUGAGGGCAAUCGUAGUCCUUGCUCACCUGGUUGAUCACAAGCUGGGAAUCACCGCAAACAACCAGGCGCUUAAUGUCGAGGGCGACCGCUGCCCGCAGCCCGGCAAGCAGGCCUUCGUACUCCGCCGUGUUGUUGGUGGAGUUAGCGAAGUCGAGUUGGACGGCGAACCGCAGCAGGUCCCCUGUGGGUGACUCGAUGACGACCCCGGCUCCCGCUCCCUGGAGACUGAACGCACCGUCGAAGUAGAGGACCCAGUGGCCCUCGUCCAGCUUGCCGGGAAGGCCGGUCUCCGACUCACUUUCUUCUAUGCCCGUGGACGUCCACUCCGCAACGAAGUCCACCAGGGCCGUGCUCUUAAUGCUUUUGAAGUUGGCGAAGUGGAGGUCGAACUCCGACAGCUCCAUCCUACAUUCAGCCACUCUCCCGGUGGCUUCACGGUUGGUGAGGGUCUUCCCGAGGCAGAACCCGGACACCACCGUGACGCGGUGCACCUGGAAGUAGUGACGCAACUUGCGGGACGCAAGGAGAAUCCCCAGAAGGAGCUUCUGUACUUGCGGGUAUCUUGUCCGCGCGUCGCGCAACACCGUACUGACGAAGUACACCGGUCGCUGCACUAACCGCUUCCGCGGCGCCGAGGUUGCCGGCUCUGGGGUGGUCCCUGGGCUUGAGGUGGUUGCCGGAGGCUGCUCAUCCCCCUGCCCUGCCGCCCCAAUCCCCGGGACGUCUUCCUCCCUCUCGGCAACCAGCACCGAGCUGACCACCUGGUCAGUCGUCGCUAGGUAGAGUAGCAGCGGCUCGCCCAACUUGGGGGCGACGAGGAUGGGCGGUGACCUCAGGUAUCGCUUGAGUUCCUGCAGCGCCGCCUAGGCCUCGACAGUCCAGUCGACUGGACCCUUCUUCUUCAUUACCCGGAAGAAAGGCAGGGCACGCUCGCCCAGCCUGGAGAUGAAGCGUCCAAGCGCGGCAACGCAGCCGUUGAGGCGCUGGACAUCUUUCACCUUGCGGGGGGCCUCCAUCUUCUCAAUGGCUUCUAUUUUGGUUGGGUUGGCCUGUAUCCCCCGGUGUGAAACCAAGAAACCCAGAAGCUGCCCGGAGUUGACGCCGAAGGUGCACUUAUCCGGGUUCAGCCUGAGCUUGAUCUUGCGGAGGUUGUCAAAUGUCUCCCGCAGGUCAUCAAUCAGGGAGUCCCUACGCUUCGAUUUGAUGACGAUGUUAUCCAUGUAGGCCUCCGCGUUGCGGCCUAGCUAGGGCCCCAAACAUUCUCGCAGGGCGCGCUGAAAUGUGGAGCCCGCGUUCUUCAACUCGAAAGGCAUGCAUGUAUAGCAGUAGCAGCCAACCGGGGUGAUAAACACUGUCUUUUCCUCAUCCUCGACCGCCAUCUUGAUUUGAUGGUAGCCGGAGAAAGCAUCCAAAAAACUCAACAGGUCACAACCAGCGGUAGAAUCAACUAUCUGGUCGAUACGGGGUACAGGGAAGGGAUCCUUGGGGCAUGCACGAUUAAGAUCGGUAAAAUCCACGCACAUGCGAAGCUUAUUCCCCGCUUUGGGCACUACUACAGGGUUAGCCAAUCAAGUGGGGUACAAAACUUCCCUGAUCGCCCCGGCAGCCCUGAGCUUGCCCACCUCUUGCUUGAUGAAAUCUUUCCGCUCUUGUGCCUGCCGCCGGAUCUUCUGCUUGACGGGGUGCGCGUCCGGGCGCACCGCGAGCCGAUGCUCAAUCACCUCCCUGGGGACUCCGGGAAGGUCUGACGGUUCCCAAGCGAACACGUCGGCGUUUUCCCGGAGGAAGGUGACGAGUGCGCUUUCCUAUUCGGCGGUCAGGUUUGCACCGACGGUAACGGUGCGCUCCUUGUCGCCGGCUUGGAGGGGCAGCUUCUUCACUUUGGCGGCCUCCUCCCGGAGCCCCCGCCCCUUGCCGGGACGCGCGCUCGAGCCCGCACCUCCUCCGGCUAGCCCUUGCAGGGUGGCGCGGGCCUUCUUCGUUGCCGGGGCGUCACCCGGCAGGGCGUCGUCCCAGAACCCAAUUGUCGCACCGGGUGGUCGUCGGCUCUGAAGGUGAUCGGCACGUGCGACCACCUCAGCGGCUGUUGCAGCUCCGCGUCCGGCAACAGCGCGCACUUGUCGCGGGUGAGGCGCUUCACCGCGGCGUGUGAUGGGAGAGCGUAAGAUCCCCCAUGGAUACAGGCGACGCCACGAGGCUCCUGGAAGCCCGGCUCGUCGCCGCCGGAAUGGUCGGACUCGCGCUGCUCCUCGGCGCGCACCCUGUCGCGCCCGCGAGGAGGGCGUUCCCGCACAGCGAGGGGCUGGCUGCGCCCUCCUUGGGGUUCGACCCUGCCGGCACCCCCGCCCGCCGGCCUCAGACCCGCUCUGGGGUCGUUCGGGCAAUCUCGGGAGAGAUGCCCGAUGUCGCCACAAUUGAAGCAGGCGCCGGCGGCGCGGCGCUCCUCGUGGCGCUGCUCCCUCCGCUGCUUGAUCCCUUGCAGGACGCGGCAACUCUGCGUGUCGUGGGUGGAGUUGUUGUGGACAGGGCAGCGGGCCGCGUCACCCUGCUUCCCGCCAAACUCUCCCCUCGACGAGGCCUUCUUCGUGGGCCUCGCCGCAAGAGGCCCCGAGUCCGCAGCGAGGACUUGCUUCCCGCUGCGCUUACGGGAACCCUUCUUCCACGAGCCCUCACCAGGGCUCGCGCACUUGUGUGCCAAGGCGUACAAGUCCUGCGUCGUCCGGAUCCGAUGCGUGCUCAGCUUCUCACGCAUCUUGGGAUUGCGGACGUUGAUGGCGAAGGUGUUGAUGAUGGCGGCCGCAUCCGCCUCCGGGAUAGAAUAGGAGAGAUUGGAGAAGCGGUUGACGAAGGCCCGCAACGUCUCUCCCGAUUUUUGCACGAUGGUGUGCAGCUCCGCCAUGGUUCCCGGGCGCUUAUAGCCGCCCUGGAACGCGCUCACGAACUGCUCGCGCAGGUCUGCCCAGGUGGCGACAGAUCCGGCGGGCAGGUUGAGCAACCAGGUUCGCGCUGAUCCCUUCAGGACCAUCGGGAACCAGUUCGCCCUGACCUUGUCGUCGGCGCCGAUGGCAUGCAUGCCCAGCGUAUAGGUCAGGAGAAAAUCGUUGGGGUUAGCGGUCCCGUCGUACGUACUGAGCGCAGGCGCUCGGAACUUACGGGGCCACACCGCCUGCCGCAACUCGCGCGCGAACGCAGUGCAGCCGUCUUCUGGGCCCAAGGAAGCAUCUUCUUGCUCCAGUGGGUGUCGGCGCUCAACCUCACGCCGGCGCAGAUCCUCCUGUUGUCGGGCAUUCAAGAUGCCACGCGCAUCGCCCCCCAGGACGGUGGGCGAUGAAUUUGAGGACCCCUCCGGGCCCCCGUCUACCAGGCCCCGCUGAGGAGGGGGAGGGUUCUCCCCCUGUCGUGAGGCGGGCGGCGCGCCUUCGCGCUCUGAGUUCGGCCCGUGGCCGAAGCCUACCGGGGCGCCCUCGCCUUGCGGCUGUUGGGCGGCCAGGGCGACAAGCGCUUCCAACUCCUCGCCCCACGUCUCAUGCGCCGGCGUGCCCUGCUGCGGCUCGUACCGCACCAUGACGCGCGCGGCGACGAUGGCUUCAGCCGGGGUUCGCACGGGGGGCAACCGGUUUCCUGAACGGCUGCUUCCCGCCCUGGCCCCGGACGCCUCCGGGCGUGCAGGGUGCGAACCUCCAGGGGUCGCCCGGGACGCGGCGUGCUCCGGGUGCCGCUGCCGCGGGGCAUCCUCGGGUCGCGUCUCCACCCAUUGGCUGGCCCGGGCGACGCCAUGCAUGCUCUCCUGACUGCCCCCGGCGCAGGGGGCAGCCGGUCCCCUCGGCCGAUUGUCGGUCGACGGUCGGGGAGGCGGUGGUGGCAGCUGCGUUUGCUGCACCCUCGAGGGCUCGGGAUUCUCUUGAGCUCCCGACUCGGGUCGCACGUCGUGGGACCACAUGUGCGCCGCUGGGGCCUCACGCGGGUCUAUGUGUGAAUCACCAGCCCGCUUGGAGGGCAUGGUGACAAGGCUCGUCGACGAAGAAGAGUGAAGCCGAUGCCGAUGGGAACUUCCGCUGCCGGCGAUCUCCGGCGCCAUCCACUCCCGCGCCCCCUACCUGGCGCGCCAGAUGUCGUCGCUCGGUGCUCCGACACCGGGGGCGUGCAGCCACGUCCUCCUUUCAGGUUCGGUAGGGGCGUCUGGGGUGGAGAGCAGAUGAUCGCCGGCACGGCCGACGAGGCCCUACCGGGCCGGCGAGGCAAAGUGCUAGGGGUACGCGCUAGUCCAAGAACAGACGUACGCACGUUUUUUACCCAGGUUCGGGCCACCCGGAGGUGUAAAACCCUACGUCCUGCCUGUCUGAGCUGAUAUUGAUUACGGAUCAAAUGUUUACAGGUUGCCGGGCAAGCUCCCGUGCUUUCUCUCAGUGGCUAGGCACUUCCCGCUACUCUCCGCUGGCUGCCUACUGGAGCCAGUAAGCGUCUAUCGAGCGAGCUUCGUCCGAACCAACUAACCGACCAGCUGACUAACUUCUCCAACUGUCUGACCCGUCAACCCUCUCUUACCCCUAGACCGUUGGCAUGGGUCCUCCUUUUAUACACAAGGGGAUGCCACAUGUGCCACGGUGCAUGGGCUGCAAGUGUCCAACGGGGAGGCACGCAACUCUCCGUAGUGAGCUGGUGGCAUGCAUGGGUGCCACCUCCGCUGCUAGGGGCCUAAGACCCUAGGGUAGGAUUGGACAACCACUGUUCCUUCGACCCGACGGGUAACUACCCGUCGGUCGGCUCGUUUACUGAGCCGCGCGCCUUACUCCUUGCCUUGGUGGGACCGCGCGUUCCGCACCCGCCACGCGCCCGUGUGGCGCUGUCCAGUGGGCCCCACGACCCGAGGCGGGGGCACGCGUCCGGGAGCCUCCAGUCCCCGCAAGUCGGCCCGGGAAGCACCCGGGCCCAGCGCGCCCGGGAACCUCCUCCCGGGAAGCAGCUUCCCGGGAGGUGCCUAAUCGGGAAUAUUCCUGGAAGCCCCGCGAGCCCCUUUCAGGCUGGUAGCUUGCCGGGAAGCUCGUUGGCCCUCCCCGGGAUGAGACCUUCCCGGGAACCCCGAGGAGGGGGCCACGCGUCGCGCAGCGGUGGUACCCCGGGUGCCACUGGUGCGACAGGAUCGUUUUUCAGAUUUUUUCUACUAGAUCGAACUUGCUUUUGGUUUUCUUGUUCUUCGUGUGAUGCAGGUUUCCUUCAUCAAUCUUCCGCGCUAAACUCCCUGCCACACCACCGCCACGCCAUAAUUUUCUGCUACCCAAAUCGAGAGUUACAAAUCUCAUCGAAAGAUCGGGCCACCCCGACCCACAUCACGUGGUAUCCACCAUAUCUUCCAUGAGUCCCUCGUCGAGUCCUACACCGAGUCCCUCUUCGAGUCCUACACCGAGUCCCUCGUCGAGUCCUACAUCGAGUCGGCAAGUUAUAGUUUUCAGUCGCGAAUCCGAGUUCGAGUCCAAUCGGGAGAGAGUUGGGAAAGAGUUUCAGAAAGAGGAAAGAUAUUAAAAAAAUCUUGGAGAUCAAGUUGUUCGGAAAGUUGUGAUACGGAAAGAAAAAGGAGAGAAAAAAAAAAGACAGGGAGUUCAAGUAAAUUUCGGACCCGAGUCCGAGUAGAAUUUUAGUUUCGGGUGGGUUUGACCCGUGUUCAGUAAAACGAGCGUAUCUUUUGCGUACCAACUCGGAUUUGGACGUUCUUGGACUUUUUGAAAAGCUCACGACGACGCGCAUCAGGAAAUAUCCAGGGUGCUGCCCUGCACUUUGACCUUCUAAGGUGGACUUUUGGAGCUUCCAAGUUUCUGCAUCCGUUUUCCGGCAUCGCUGCAGCCCGAUGUUUUUCAGUUUUCUUCACCGUCCAACAUCCGAUUUGAGUGAUCUUGCCCUUGCGGGAAAGCUUGUGUCGAUACGCUUCUAACCCAUAUUUUUCCAUAUUUUUCCGGAUUUUUCUUACUGCAGCCUUUGCUGUUCUUCUAUGGACCGACAUACAAUUUUCCGGUCCUUCUUUUGCGUGAGUUUCUGGGGUUAAAAAAAAAGAAAAGAAGAAGAAGAAAAGAAUAAGAAGCCAAACAGAAGGCCACAAAAAGAAAAAGAAAAAAAAAUAAAAAAAUCCCAGGGAUUUACUUGUUGUGCCAUCUUUCUAUCCUACCUUCUUCGGUAUCUACGCUUAGAUUAUUUCUGUAAUUCGUUCUUAUCGACUCUAGCAGCUAGGACUAGCAUUAUUGAGCAUAUUACACUUGAUACAUCCAUGUAUUUGUCACAUGCAAUGUUUAAAGUUUCUGAAUUAACAAUUUCCAAAUCUUUUGCUAAUGCUCAUGGAUACGCUAUUCAUUUAAUUGGAGAACAUGAUGUGAACAAUAACUUUUUUUUGGAUGAAAUUUGCAUUACUUGUGAUAAUUUUCCUUUCUUGAGAGAAAAUAAAUUUUUGCAUAUGCCUAAUCAUUUUGAUAAGAGCUCCAAUAUUGGUGUUGAUUAUUUGCCAAGUAGUUCUUUACACGAUUGUUUGAAUAUCAGUGCUUUGACAUGCUCUAAAUUUCAGCAUCUUGUAAUAACUAAUUUGGGUAACAUUAAUUAUUAGUCUCCAGUGUUGGGAUGGUAUAAUGGUGAGCGGUGCAAACCAAAUAUAAGAUAUUGUUUUCACUUAUAUAUGCAAAACAUAUUGUCAAUCUUCUUGCUGGAAUGAUAUUCAUGAUGAUUGUUUGACUAAUUAUCUCAUGAGAUUGUGUUAUAAAACAUUAAUUAUGCAACAUGUGAGUGGAGUUAAAAAUAACGAUAUAUACAUAUAUCAUGCGCAUACCUUGUCUCUUUUGUUAGCAUAUUUUCAGCAUAAACGACGCCGAGGACGGCUUUCCUUUCAAAAAAGGGAGGAUGAUAUGGACAUGCUAACCAUGGAUACAACCAUUAGAACCCUAAUUGUUGGUGUAUCUAAUAACAAUUAUAAUCAGGUGAAUUCAAUUACAAAAUGUUUUCAAUAUGUUACUUGCAAAGAGGCGGAGCUACUAUCUUGUGUAAUCUUAUUAUGUAGGUAUCUUAUUGAACUUUACAAGUCCAAAGUGAAAAUGAAGUGUGAUAGCCUGCAAAGGGAGAUUCAAAGUGAAGCCUAUCAAGUCUACUUUCCAACAAAUCAAACGGCACAUGAUUCGGAGCUUGCUAGAGAAAGAUAUCACGAAUUAAAGUUGAAUCCGAUCCGGCUCCGAACUGUCAGGAGAUCCGAAUUUUUUUUAAUCACCCAGGCCCCAUCCGGAGUCCAAAUCAAGCAAACAAGUACUUGUUGGAAAGGUAAUUACAAGACCUUUCCAACGGAUCUGGCCCCAUCAAGAGAUUCGACUCGCGCUGAUCGUGGCGGACAAAACAAGCUGACGGAUCUGUUUUUCUGUUUCCUAAAGAGUUGUAGUUUGUUAGGAAAGUUAGAGAUAGAGUUGGAUUUCGGCCUCCUUACUCAAGGUGGACCAAAAUAUCUCUCCCUCCUCCUUUAUAUACCACAUGAGCCCCCCUAUGGAGCCUUGGGUUUUAUUUAGUUAAAAGUUAGCCAUCGCUACUACUUUGUGUAAUCACGUGUGUCGGCUAGACCACCUGUUUUACCGCUUUCGGAACCCCAACUUAUCAUCUCGUUGAGACAUUGGUUUGAUAGUAUAUUCGCAAUUUUAGAUUGCAUCUGCUAUUUAUCUUGUUCUUGCUUAUUCUUCGAUUGCUUGCAGGAACAAAGACCUUCGUGGUCAGGUUGAUCGUGCCCCCGCGGGAUCAAUAACCCUCUGGAGUUGGUGUAUCGAUUGCUAAGGCGCUGCCUCUUAGGCCGUAGUCGGAUCGUCAACGUCAUUUCUUAUCCAAAUCGAGAGUUACAAAUCUCAUCGAAAUAUCGGGCCACCCCGACCCACAUCACCCUGACUCCCUACUUCUAGCUUGGGGGAGAACUGGCGACCCAGCUUGGUAGCAUGGCCAGUGAGGGGGAAGCGGCUCCACAGUCGUUGACUCCUGCGCCAAGUCAGGAGGUGGGCCAAACUUGAAGUUUAGACUUCUUAGGAUUUCUCUUUUCCUCUUUUGUAAUUUCUCUUUGUUUGUAUGGUCCUUGCUCAAGUGUGAGCGUUGUUAAUAAAGAAACGCCUCUGUUCCUUUGUACUGAUAUGAGUCGGAGACCUUGCUUCUGGUUAGGCUUGAGUCUUUGAAUCCUUCUCGGGACUAAAGGGAAUUUCUCUUCUGCAGAGGCAGAAAGAGCCCAUGAUUCCAAUAGUCGAAGUAGACGCCGAGAAAGUCGUGACUCCCAAGUUGAGUAUCGCAAGUGCUGAGGUCUCUGCUAAAGUGAAUCCUCCUGAAGCUCCGAAAACCGUGGAGUCGAUGCCUCCUAUGGAGGUUCCUUCCUUGGUCAAGACUCGAAGUGAACUGGAGUUCCUACGUCGACGUCUCCAGGAAACCGAAACCCGUGCCAAGGACUCGGCAAUGCAGAGUCGGAGAACAUCAGGCGAGUUGCAGAUCGCCAAGACCAAGCUGAAGGCGGCUGCUGCCCGUGAAGAAUUUAUCUUCGAGGAACUUCACGGGCUGAGUUCUCAGCUUCAAUGUGAGUCGCCGCAUCCUAUUUGCUUGACUUCUUUUUUUUUAUUUGUGUUUUAGUCGAGUUGUUUGUAGAUGUGCAAACCAACCCACGAGCCGAGCAAGAUCGAGUGAACAGUGCCCUGAAUGCUCGUCAAACGAUCGAUUGAUCAUCGUUCUGAUCUGACCGAGUUCUACGACAAAAUAGCCCCGGGUAGAAAUGCUUUUCUUAGCACGCUUUUUACUUUCGUCUCUAUGUGCCCGACCCGUACCGUUAUCUGAGACGUUGUGUGAGUCGUCUCAAUUUCCAGCUUCUCCGCACGUACCGUGACUUUUAAAAAUAAAUAAGUCAUCUCAGAAAACUAAAGCCUUCGUCUUCUUCCAUAACCAACCUGAUGGAGGCGGACAAACCCUAGAUGAGUCCCGUAGGUUCCCGUCCUGGCGGCUGGCGCCCCUUGCCGGCAAACUCUCCCCUUCUGCACGUGAGUUCCAUCCUCCUCUUUCCGAAGUUCUUUGGAAUUACCGGAUCUCUUUUCUGUCAUACCCCUGGAGGCACCCUGCUCCAAGAUCGAUCCAUCAGGACGGCCUGAGCGACCUAUUCCCUGCGGCUGGUCUCCUGUGCAACAACCCAAUCCAGCCAUCCAGGCCAUCCACGAAGGUGCACAACCGUCCGCCUCCCCCUCAUCUCCCCUCUCAGAUCUCUGAUUUUGUUUUCUUGUAUGCUGCAGAUCUGUACUUUAUGUGAUUGGGUUGUCAUGGCAAUUGUUGUUGAGAUAAGAUAAUCCAGCGCUGACAAUCACGAGACAGGAGAAAAACAAGUAAAUUUUUAUUUACCAUUGCCUCACUUGAAUUGAUUGUGCCUGUUCAGGCUUGUUUCAGUUAAUUGUGAUCUUCAGGUCACUCGGCUGCAGGACAGCCAUGCCACAUUCAACAGGUGAUCGACCAGUUCAUCUAUGAAAACUGAGGUAUUUUAUUAUUUUUGUUACAGUUAUCUGAUCAAGUACGCCCAAUAAAAAGAUUAGCCAUGUCGCUUGUGUAAUCAAAAUAAUUUUUUGCUCCAGGGAAUCUAACUCCGCUGACAUACCCAUGUACUAUAGCUUGAUGCGUAAUUACUUUUUGCAUCGUAGGAAUUCAACUCUGAUGCCAUAAUUUAUACCCAGAAUUUACUACUUUAGUAGAAUUUGUAUCCAGAAUUUAUUUAUGCCUCAUUUAACUUUAUUUGCAGAAGAACUUCCAUGGGAGAAUUUGCAAGGAGCACAAGAAAUGGCCUUAAGGAAAAGCUAUGAAAAGAUACAAGAGCAGAGCAGAGAAGAUUGGGGGAGCAGAUCCGCGUGUAGAUAUAUAGGUUUCAACUAGUUAGCAUUACAUUAUAUAUUUUUCCAGUGACCUGUGCAAUGUUUUAUGGAUCUUGUACCUUUCAGUUGUAAAGAUUGUUUUUUUAUAAUAUAAUUUCUUAUUCACCACCGUGUUAUGAUUUGUGAGUAGAAGUAAGAUUAUUUCUUGGGUAUUAAUUGGCCAUAUCUAAUUACAUAAAUUUAAACACAUCACCUUGUAAAAAAAGAAAAUGUCUCUAUGAGUUCUUUGGCACGCAAUAAAGCGGCUCAACAUAAGUAUCGACGAGUGUGCAGGUGCAACUAUCAUGAAUUUACCAAUACGUCUCAACUGGCAUAGACAUGCUCUUAAAACGUCUCACUAUCAGAUAGAGAUGCUUUCUAUGCGUAUCUACAAAUUUUGACACGGUGCGGGAGGAGGCGCUUCUAGGACGCUUUACAAAGCGACUUUACAAUCUUGUAGAGAUGAAUUAAAGCGUCUUUAACACCUAUAUUAGAUGUCCCUACAAGGCUAUUUUGCGAGCAAGGGGUCGUGACCGGAUGCUGCUGCGAGACCGCAUAGACCAGAACAAAACCUUCUUCGACUCGCACUUAGAAACUCUAAAGACGAUUCAUCAGGCAUUCUGGCCCUUGGAGGAGGUGCCCCAGGAGCGGAGUAAGCUGACCCGAAAACUUGGGCAAGAUAGCAUCUUCCGGGAGCUGAUGUACCGUCAGCUGGUCAGGGGAGCGAAGAUAGCCCUGGCGUUCGUGUAGAUCUAGCACCCUCUGCUCGACCUCAGCUGAAUCUCUGAGCUUCCGCUCGACCCUGACGAUGAGAUCGACAUGCGACCGCAUUUCCAGGCUGUGUAUGUGCAGGCGGCGAGGAUCAUCGGCUGGCGAUACUGGAAGGAAGAAGAUCUUAUUUCUCGACAGCAAUCACAGUGUUAACUGUCGAGCCCACCGUAAAUAGCAGUAGAGUAGAUUCUACCGGGUGCGCGACCAGCGCUCCCGGUGGGAGUAGGCCCUAAGUCUGGUGACGACUGUUUGUAGUGGUGACCGGACUCAAGUUAUGUACUCAAAGACUUGCUUACAAAGGGUUGUUCUGUUCUUGUUAGAAAGAACUUUGUGUAACCUAAACCGUAUUUGAAUAUAAAUUUGAACCCGAAGACUGCCGGUGGGAGCGACCGGCGAAGUGGUGUACCCGGGAUGCACACAAACCAAGAACGCAUGCACGCACGUUUUUACCCAGGUUCGGGCCACCCGGAGGUGUAAAACCCUACGUCCUGCCUGUCUGAACUAGUAUUGAUUAUGGAUCAAGUGUUUACACCUUGCCGGGGGAGGGUCCUCGGGCUCUCUCUCCUUUCUUGCUAAAUGCUACUUACUAUUCUUCGACUAAGACUAGUUGUGAACUGUGAGUCCAUGUAACCGUGUGACCGUUGAACCCUUUGACCAUUGGCGGGAUCCUCCUUUUAUUCUCAAGGUGAAGCCACAGGUGCCACGGUGCAUGCACUAUAAGUGUCGAACGGGGAGGCAUACAACUCCCCCUCGGUGAGCUGGUGGCAUGCAUGGGCGCCACCUCCGCCGAUAGGGGCCUAAAACCCUAGGGUAGGAUUGGACUGCAACUGUUCACCUGAUUCGGACGGGUAACGCUCCUCCUGUCGGCUCAUUUAAUGAGCCGUGCGCCUCACUCCUCGCCCUGGUGAGGCCGCGCACCCGGCGCCCGCCACGCGUGAUAUGGGUGUGGGUGGCCCGAUCUUUCGAGGAGAUUGAUAACCCUCGAUUUGGGUAGGAGGUGACGUUGAUGAUCCGACUACGGCCUAAGAGGCAGCGUCUUAGCAAUCGAUACACCAACUCCAGAAGGUUAUUGAUCCCGCGGGGGCACGAUCAACCUGACCACAAAGGUCUUUGUUCCUGCAAGCAAUCGAAGAAAAGGGAAGAACAAGAUAAAUAGCAGAUGCAAUCUCAAAUUGCGAAUAUACUAUACCAAACAAAUGUCUCAACGAGACGAUAAGUUGGAGUCUUGACGACGGUAAAACAGGUGGUCUAACCGACAUACGCGAUUACACGAAACUAGUAAAGAUGGCUAAACUUUAUCUAGUCAAAACCCAAGGCUCCUUAGGGGGGCUCAUGGGGUAUAUAAAGGAAGAGGGAGAGAUAUUUUCGUCCACCUUGAGUAAGGAGGCCGAAAUCCAACUCUAUCUCUAACUUUGCUAACAAACUACAACUCUUUAGGAAACAGAAAAACAGAACCGUCAUCUUGUUUUGUCCGUCACGGUCAGCACGAGUCGAAUCUAUUGAUGGGGCCAGAUCCGUUGGAAAGGUCUUGUAAUUACCUUUCCAACAAGUACUUGUUUGCUUGAUUUGGACUCGGGAUGCGGCCUGGGUGAUUAAAACAAAUUCGGAUCUCCUGACAGCUCGGACCCGAAUCGGAUUCAACUUUAAUUCGUGAUAUCUUUCUCUAGCAAGCUCCGAAUCUUCUGCCGUUUGAUUUGUUGGAAAGUAGACUUAAUAGGCUUCACUUUGAAUCUCCCUUUGCAGGCUAUCACACUUCAUCUUCACUUUGGACUUGUAAAGUUCAAUAAGAUGCCUACAUAAUAAGAUUACACAAGAUAGUAGCUCCGCCUCUUUGCAAGUAACAUAUUGAAAACAUUUUGUAAUUGAAUUCACCUGAUUAUAAUUGUUAUUAGAUACAGCAACAAUUAGGAUUCUAAUGGUCGUAUCUAUGGUUAGCAUGUCCAUAUCAUCCUCCCUUUUUUGAAAGGAAAGCUGUCCUCGGCGUCGUUUAUGCUGAAAAUAUGCUAACAAAAGAGACAAGGUAUGCGCAUGAUAUAUGUAUAUAUCGUUGUUUUUAACUCCACUCCCAUGUUGCACAAUUAAUGUUUUAUAACACAAUCUCAUGAGAUAAUAAAAUUAAUUUGUGCACUCAAAUCAUUAGAAGAAUUAAUUUCAGCAGUAGGUGCACUUGAAUCACCAUGUACGACAAUAAUUUCACAUGGUGCAGAAAAUUCAACAGGUAUCACAUUUAUUUCAUCACAUGCCCUUUUUAGUUCAGCAACACAAUCCUCUGUAUCAUUACCUUGUGGGCUCGACUCAUUUGUAGUAGACCCUCGCUGUAAUUUCCUCUCAACUUUACGAGCAAGAUUAAGCAAACACAAAAGAGAGUCGUAUUUUCCAUAUUCAAUCAUGUCAGAAAUAUCAAAAUUAAGCCCACAAUAAAACCUAUCCAUUUUUCUUUGUUCGGUUUCAUCUAAACCAAAUCGCAAGGUUAUAAUUUGGAACUCAUUGUAGUAAUCAUCAACAGUUUUAUCAUCUUGUGCCAAACGUUGUAAUUUUGAACGCAAGUUAAAAGCAUAACUAAAAGGGACAUAUUUUUCUCUCAUGAUUUUUUUCAUAUCAACCAAAGUGUGGGGAAUUUUCUUUUCUCUAACUAUCUCAUUCCACCAAGAUAAAGCAGCAAAAGUAAAUUUACUACUAGCAAUUUGAACCUUGUGACUAUCAAGUACAUGGAAGCAUGUGAAUUGUUCAGUUAAAGCUAGCUCCCAAUCUAUAUACGUUUCAGCAUCAUUUUCCCCCUCAAAGAGAGGUACACACAAUUUAAUUGUAUUAGAAGGAUUGUUUUGUACCGUUGCCGUGGCAUUAUCAACAAGAGACGUGGAGGAUGGCCGUCGUGAAAAGCACUCAUCGCGGUCACGAGAUAGCAUCGGUCUAGUUGCCAUGCUUCGUGUAAGUCCUGUCAUGGUUAGUAGAAAUGUAACAUCCCAAUUUUCAAAACUCUUCAUAUGCAUUGCAUAUCAUAAGCAUCAUGUCACCCUUGCAUUUAAUCACUUUCAAAACCCUAAAAAUUUGCCCAGAAAACCCUUUUGCAAAGAUGCCUUUAUUUGAUUUUGGGCUUUGAUCUUGCUCUUGAGUAUUUGCAUUUUAAUCCAUGAGGGUAUUGCGAUAAAAAGGGAUUUAAUGCAUAUAUAGAGCUAUCCCAUAAAUUGGCUCUUGAAAUUAUUUUGAAAAAAUAAUUUGUUUUGAUAGCCUAAUGGGGCCAAAAGCCAUUUUAUAGGCAAAUAUAUUUUUAAAUAUUUUAUUGUGAGGAAAUUCUUGUUCCAAAAGUUAGAUCAUAUGAAAAUAUGAUUUUACAAAUUUUGUUGCAUUUUUUAUUUGGAGUGAUUUGGAGCUUCGAGUCAAUUUUGAGGUUCAAAAACAGAACAUAGAUAAAAGAAAAGGACCGGACCGACCGGAUCCGCCCCGCCCGAGCCGCGUGCUCCCCCUGACCGGUGGACCCCACAGUCUUCUUCAACCUCCGUCCGUUUUUCCCGGCCACGCACGAGUCCGUGUCGCCCACGACUCCACCUCCGAUUUCUCCGCGCUCGGGCCGUUUCAAAUCCUUGCGCGUCACCCCGAAGCCCUCGCUUUUCUCCUCCACUUCCUCCAAACCGCUCGCCCGAUUUCGCACCGGUUAGAAAGUAAUUGCUCGCCUGAGUUCAUUGCUGUCGUCGCCGUUCUUCGCGAUUCGCCGCCGUUCCGGUGAGGUUCUCCCCGCGCCAACCCCCUAGCCUCUCUCCUCUCCCUGUCCCGAACGCCGUGACGCGCUCGCCUUUGUGUUUGGUCGCCGCGCCGCCAUCUUCCCCCACGCCGGCUGCCGCCCGCGCUCCGCCCACCUGUGCGCCGCCGCUCCUCCUUCGGCCCAGCCGCCCCGCGCCCCGAGCCCGCGCCCGUGCGCCGCCGCCUGCGCGCCCGACCGUGCCCGCCGCUCGGAGCCGACCGCGCGUGCCGCCCGCCGCUCGCCCGCGCCCAUGCCUUUGCGUCGCCCUUGCGCCGACUCCGCGCCGCCCGCCGCCGUUGCCGGCUGUCCGCGCCACCGGCCGGAAACCCUAGGCUCCGGCCACUCAUGUUCUGCCGCGUGGCAGUGCCUUUUUGUUUUUAUUUUAUUUUAUUUUAUUUCGGCCGAAUUAGAUAAUGCAAAUUUUGCAAAAAGGCCCCUAACUCUUCAAAGCCUCAUAUCUUUCCAACCGUUUGUCCAAAAAUUUGUGAUCCGCACCUUUCUGAAAUCGUCACAACGUGUAGAAUAUUUUGGCACUGUUUAAAUUCACUUUUGAACAACUUAGAGAUUAGGUAUUUACAGAAUGGUUGAAUAUGGUUUAAAUCUCAAAUGAAUUGUUUCAAAAUAGUUUUGAGCAUGUUAUCUUACUGUAAAAUUAUUUAAACUUGUUCUCUGUCCAUUAGGACCAGAAAAUAAAUUAUUUUGUGAAUAAUAAUGGCAUACAAGUUUAAAUCUUGCUCUAUGUUGCAAAAGCCACACAAUCUUUUGAUUUAAACCCUAUCCUUGUUCAUGCAUAUUAAUUACCUUUUUGAUGUUGUAUAAUCUGUCCAAAUCAUUUGAAAGACUUUUCAAAACAGAAAUGAAACUUUUUACUUUAGAAGUAACCUUUGUGUGCAUCAUCAUGGCAUAUGCAUCAUGGCAUGGUUUUUGUAUUGAAUGUUGUGUUUAUUGUGUGUGUUUCUUUUAUUUUAGAUUGUGUGGAGUGUAUUCCUUGUUGUUGCGAAGAGUGCGGGAACUACCACAUCCUUGGACAAGGCAAGUUCACUAUGAUCAUUCUCCUAAAUAUUUUUACUAUGCACUAGAUGUUUUAUAAGAUGCAUCAGGAAUAUUACUCGUACUUCUAUGCUAGCUAUAAAUCCCAGGUAGUAUAGUUUACCCUUGCCAUUACCUUGCUACAAAAAUUGCCAUCGAUUGUAGUUGAAUGCUAGGCUAUGGUAGUAUCGUGGGGGAAAUAGCUACAUUAUGAUAUUGUUAUGCCGCUGGCUAUAUGAAAUGUUUUGUUAGAUGUAAGGCAAAACAAAUAAUUCAAUGAACCCUGCUGGCUGGGCUGCUUUGAAGAUUUUGAGGAUUAGCAGCGUCAGGUCCAUUUCUAUGGGUCCCUCUGAGUCAAGUUCCUGUGGAUUUAGGAACGGAUCGUCCAUGGACGUCUCUCCCGUGGAUUCGGGGAGCGCCUACGUUGCAAAUGUGGAAUGCCACCUGGGGUAACCGAGACUGGACUAGUUUCUUAUUUAGAAGCUUCUAGUACAACCACAAUACUAUAUGGGCUCUGGCGAGACAAGAGUAAGUUGUAUGAACCUAGACCCGAGGAAUUGUACUGAGGUAGCCGUGUAGGGGGAGCGUGAUUCUCUCGUGGUUUAGGAAAUUACCUCUGAAAAUCUCGUAAUCGAUGCCGUUGCUACUCUGAUGUGGGUGGGGGUGGCCCGAUCUUUUGAUGAGAUGGAUAACUCUCGGUUUGGGUAGGAGGUGACGUUGACGAUCCGACUACGGCUUAAAAGGCAGCGCCUUAGCAAUCGAUACACCAACUCCAGAGGGUUAUUGAUCACGCGGGGGCACGAUCAACCUGACCACGAAGGUCUUUGUUCCUGCAAGCAAUCGAAGAACAAGCAAGAACAAGAUAAAUAGCGGAUGCAAUCUGUAGUUGCGAAUAUACUAUAUCAAACCAAUGUCUCAACGAGACGAUAAGUUGGGGUUCCGAAAGCGGUAAAACAGGUGGUCUAACCGACACACGCGAUUACACGAAAGUAGCAAAGAUGGCUAAACUUUAUCUAAUCAAAACCCAAGGCUCCUCAGGGGGGCUCAUGGGGUAUAUAAAGGAGGAGGGAGAGAUAUUUUGCUCCACCUUGAGUAAGGAGGCCGAAAUCCAACUCUAUCUCUCACUUUCCUAACAAACUACAACUCUUUAGGAAACAGAAAAACAGAUCCGUCAGCUUGUUUUUUUCGUCACGGUCAGCACGAGUCGAAUCUCUUGAUGGGGCCAGAUCCGUUGGAAAGGUCUUGUAAUUACCUUUCCAACAAGUACUUGUUUGCUUGAUUUGAACUCGGAUGCGGCCUGGGUGAUUAAAACAAAUUCGGGUCUCCUGGCAGCUCGGACCCCAAUCGGAUUCAACUUUAAUUCGUGAUAUCUUUCUCUAGCAAGCUCCAAAUCAUGUGCUGUUUGAUUUGUUGGAAAGUACACUUGAAAUCCUUCCCUCUCAGCUGUAUGAAUGCUUGAUUCUUGUUGGCCCUCCCGUUCGCCUCCAUCGUAUCUCAUCUUAACCUUGGACUUGAAAAGCUCGACAAGAUGCCUACGUAAUAAAACGAGACAAGAUAGUAGUAGCUCCGCCUCUUCAUAAAUAUGACAAUGAAAACAACUACUACUUGAAUUCACCUGAUUAUAAAUCUUUCCAAAUAUUAUAGAAUUGAGGGUACCAAAGGUCGUAUCCAUGGUUAGCAUGUCCAUAUCAUACUCUACCCUGAGGACAGCAAGGGAUUAACACGUCGGUUUCUGGUGGGGAAUGUGUACAAACUCUCGAGAGCGUCAAAACUAAGUACUUAGCCGUGUCCCCGGCAACGGACAUUUUGAGCGACUAGAUGUGGAGCUGUAAGGAAAGUCUCACUCAUUGCAAUUUCUUAAAUAAAAUGAAUGGUUGAACAGGGUAGGAGCACUUGAUGAAUCCACUUCAAUGUGCUCUAGGAUAAUAGGAGCAUGGGUGUGUCUACCCCGUGUCCAACAGUGAUAAAAUUCUAUUUGAUUAAAAGAUAUGAUUCAAUAACAAAGCUUUUAUGCAAAUAGCUUGAACCACACUUUGCCACAUUAUGCAUAUAUUUGGUAGGCUCUGAUAUAACUCCUAGUGAAUCUUGCCAAUACAUUCAAUGUAUUGACCCUAGUGGCUGCAUCGUUUAAUGAUGCAGGAAGCUCCGAAGACGAGUAAGAUGUACGUUCUGCUUGUUUGGGUUACGGGCUUACAUUCCAACACGCUCUCACCGUGGUGUUGAUGUGCCCUUGUAUCUUUCGUUUUCCGCUGCUAAACAGUUGUUUUAUUUCCAGCUAACCCGUGAGGUUAUGCGAGUUGUAAGUACCUUUAAAUUCUGGAUGAUUCGUUGUAAUAUUGAGACCUUUGUUCUAUGAUAUUACAUCUUGAAACUGUGUGUGCUUGUGAGUCGAUCCAGGGACUAGCACUAAAGCACAGAGAUCGAACCUGUGUACGGGGGCGGUCGCUACAAGAAAACAAGAAACAAAUCACAGUAAUAUGUUCCUAUCAACUACUAGGAUGUGGCUACAAGUUGCUCAACUCUCAAGCUAAAAAUCAAGUUCUUACGAGUUCUUACCAUGCAAAACAGGAAGGUGAUGGCCAGCGGCGUAACCAACACCUCCGGAGAUUAAAUGUAUCGAUGCCUCGGUAAGAAACCAACCUAGGUGUAGAAUCGGUGGAGCUUGGAGGCUUUUGUGAGUAGCAAGGAAUAGCAAAUAAUCAAAUCAGCAAUGCAAAGUUGAAAAUAUGCUCAAUAAUGCUAGUCCUAGCUGCUGGAGUCGAUAAGAACGAAUUACAGA
rnacentral:lncRNA from 1 species